AACGAACGCUGGCGGCAUGCCUAACACAUGCAAGUCGAACGAGACCUUCGGGUCUAGUGUCGCACGGGUGCGUAACGCGUGGGAACCUGCCCUUAGGUUCGGAAUAACUUCCGGAAAGGGGUGCUAAUACCGGAUAAUGUCUUCGGACCAAAGAUUUAUCGCCUUUGGAUGGGCCCGCGUUGUAUUAGCUAGUUGGUAGGGUAAAAGCCUACCAAGGCGACGAUCCAUAGCUGGUCUGAGAGGAUGAUCAGCCACACUGGGACUGAGACACGGCCCAGACUCCUACAGGAGGCAGCAGUGGGGAAUAUUGGACAAUGGGCGAAAGCCUGAUGCAGCAAUGCCGCGUGAGUGAUGAAGGCCUUAGGGUUGUAAAGCUCUUUUACCCGCGAUGAUAAUGACAGUACCGGGAGAAUAAGCUCCGGCUAACUCCGUG
rnacentral:rRNA from 1 species